rnacentral:rRNA from 1 species
CCCUUAGACGUUCUGGGCCGCACGCGCGCUACACUGAUUCAUGCAACAAGUUUUGUCCUUGGCUGAUAGGCCUGGGUAAUCUUUGAACGUGAAUCGUGAUGGGGAUAGAUGAUUGCAAUUAUUCAUCUUCAACGAGGAAUUCCUAGUAAACGCAAGUCAUCAGCUUGCAUUGAUUACGUCCCUGCCCUUUGUACACACCGCCCGUCGCACCUACCGAUUGAAUGGUCCGGUGAAAUCUUCGGAUCUGAGAGAUGUCUGAUUAAUUUCGGACGCCUUUUGGAAAAGUUGUUUAAACCUUACCAUUUAGAGGAAGGUGAANUCGUANCA